rnacentral:lncRNA from 1 species
AAAAGUUCUUGUAAGGAAAAUCAGAAAAGCAGAAGGUUAUUCACUGUCCACAGUUUGCAGCUGCAAAGCAGUUCAGUUUCAAAAUGUUUCUGAUAACUGUAGGUGGGAUGCCUUCCAGCCAUAUGAUUAAAUGAUAUGGUAAAUUUUAAGAGAUCUAAAGUCAGCUGUAACACAGAAAGUAUGAAAUCUUUGUUCUUCAUAAAAAAUAAUUAAUUAAAUGGCUGAAUUCUUUUCUGUAUUAACCCUGAGAGUGUUAGCAGCUUCCCUUCUGAAUCAGAAUACAUUCUGAAAUCAGAAUAUAUGUAUAUAUAUAUAUCAGCCAUCUAAAGGAACCAGGAGCUAGUAAUGAUUAUAAUUAUUUUAAAGGGCAAUGCUUUAGUACUUUUCCAGUGUGCAUUAAUAUAGUGCUCUGGAGCACAACUCUAAGCAUCCAUUUACAUUUUGUUUAAGUCAGCACCAGUAUUGUCCUGCACAUGCAUUUAUAUCCUUGCACAAAUGCUGUACAAAUAAAAUAUACAUACAAGUAUAUGAAGGUUCAAAAAGAAAAUUAGGGGUGAAAAUUCAGCACCCCAAUGUUUUAUACAGACUUUCAGAAGAACCACAUUUCUCUCCUCUGGAUUCCCAGUCUGCAAGGAUGAUGUGCCUAAUUCUUGGACCUAGAAGGUGCUAUGAUUUCUUCCUGGAAGGAAUUUGACCCUUUCCUGACAGCUCUUGAUGAUCUUAAUUUGCCAACAUUUUGGAAGUGAAGCUUCAGCUACAGAACACGUCAGCUGCACCCUCCUUGACCCUAACACUUAGUACUCCAGAUUCAGCCUUUUUUUCCUUUCCUUUUUCUUUUUUAAUAAUUUUUUGAGCUUCUAUGCAAUGGAGAUGAUUAAAGAUGAAGAUGAUUAAAGAUGAACAUGAAGAUGAUUAUCAGGGUAUAUCCAAUACCAUGACGAGUACCUGCAUGAGAUGUUAUAAGGUAAUCUUGCAGAAUCAAGUGAAAUCAGCACAGGCACAAUUGCUUCACUGAACUUUGGGGACUGCUGAGCGGAGAAGUAAGUAUUCAGAGACCAGAACAAAAAGGUAGUAGAUUGUAAGACUUUUUCUGUUACAAGCAGAGCAAUGAAUUGAAACUGCCUAUUUUUUUCACAAACUCUUCAUCCCUUGCUGAGCAAUCUUACAAUUUGAGAUCAAACUACAUGUUCAGUGCCGUGCAGAGAAAUUUGCUGAAUGUAUGAUGUAUGAUUAUACAUCUUGAAAUAUGAAGUUAUGUAUGAAAUAAAAUACCAUAGUCCACUGCACUGAGAUCAGUGAGAAUACAGCAAUCCAUGGUGGUGGCAUUGACAGACUGAAGAAUCCAGCUCACUGCAAUUUGUUUUGAGUUCUCAAGCACCUAUAAAUCCUAUGCAGAUUGUUCUCUGACUGAAUCCUUGUGGACCUCCUUUCUUUCUUUUUCUUCUCUCUUUCUUUCUUUUCUCUUUUUUUUUUGUUGUUGUUGUUGUUUAAAGAAAAGAAAGCCUAGCAUGAAGAAUACCUGCUUGUCAUGUUUUUCUUCUGAAGAAAGUUUUUCUUCUCCAGAUCCUUUGCAAAGAAUGUUAAAUGCAUCACCCUAAUGUUCUUUUUGAACAUCUUCUGAUUACAGACUGCUCUUCAGUAUUAAAUCAACAUAAUGCUUUUCUCUCUAUUACCUUUUAGCUUUCCCGAAAUUUGCUGCCAAGCCUUAUAUCCUCUUGUGUCCUGCCAUAUUAGGCCAUACCUGUUGCUGCAGAAGACUUGGAAGAGAAGGCAGAAUAUGAAACACAUUAUUGAUGGAUGGGCUCGGGACACUGAAUUCAGAAGACUGAAUUGCCACAUUGGUUUUGCUGAACAGAGGAGCUUAUUUCAUCCAAACUAUCAAAUUUGAAGGGUGAAUACAUGGCUGAUAAUCAAAUAUUCCUAACUGUGCAGGGUUUUUUAAAUUUUCUGGAAAUGCAAAAUAUGUAUGACAAAUGGUUUCAGAUACGCAUUUCAAAUCAGUUUAGAUAAAAAAUGUGGGUAAAAGCAAUUAGGCUUUCUUAUUAAUAUCAUCACCUGUCACAUCCUUAUGCCGCUUUGCCAGCAAAAAGUAUUGCUAACAGAGGUGUACCAAGAGAAGAUUAUAAGCAGGUCUGAAGGCAUAAGAGAAUUUCUUUACAAGAGAUGGUAAAACGAGAUGACUCUGGAAAAUGUGAAAUAUAGAUCUGGUUGAUCUGACAGUAGACUAAUAGAAUACUAUUGAAUAUUUUUGUCCAGUUUGUCUGACAAAAUGGCAUCAUUUUUCUCAACUUUGCUUACAAAAAUUACAAUGUUUUAUUCUCUAUUUUCUUUUCAGGUGGUAGACAGCUUGAGUAAAAUAAAAUCUGUGCAUCUCUGUGCUAAUUAUGCUUUUUUUUUUUUAAGGAAAAAAAGCUUGUAGGGGAAAUAAUACUUAGAUUUGGAUCUUAAUUCUAGCACAGUGUUUAUAUGCACAGAUAGAUGAUGUUUUGCUUGAACAAAACCAAACCACUGAAAAUAAAAUUUUGUUUGUGAAUAAUAUUUGAAGUACAUGUUAGUUAAAUCUAGCUGUAGGACAAAGGGAAAGGAAGAUCAUUGGCAAUGUUGAAGCUUUCACUGACAAGUUAGAAAAGUUGUAUAUGAUAGUAUAUAUAAUAUAAUAAAUGUAUAUUAACAAUUUAUAUAAUAAUAGUUUUCUUUUGAAAAUGUUGACAUCCUUAGUUUCAUUAUGCAAUAUUACAAGUACUCGUUUUGAAAAAUCUUUCUGUUUCACUGAAAAACAGCCCACUCUACUUAGGAGAAGGAUGGGUAAAAGGGUUAAGAAACAAAAUGAAACCUGAAGGCUGACAUUAAUUUUUUCAGGCUUUCCUUAUCUCGAAAACCUGAACCGCUGAUUUGAUUAGACAAAACUGCUGUUUGCCUGCCUUUAUGUAACUGAAUGUAACAAAUACACAGGACUGUAUAUUAUAUGGUGUUUUCCAUAAUGUAAUAUAUUUUCAGGAGUCCAAAGAGUUUCUGAAGGUAAUGAAAAUAUUUUGGAGGUAUUCACUAUGGGUUUGCUGCAUGGAUUAUUGUGCCUGAAAUGUGGUUAUAGUAUGCAUAGCGCAUUGGUGCAGUGGAAUUAGUGUCUUCUUUUCACAUUGGAUAUUUACCUAAGUUAGUAAGACUAAUGCCUAACUUUUGUAACAGAUUUGAGAAGACAUGUUAGCCCUUUUCUGUCAGGAACUACACACCUACACACACACACACACACACACACACACACAAAACCAUUAUUCAUUAUAGUGUGGAAUAUUGUAUUAACAGAUUGCGUACCUUUUUACAGUAGGAGUUUUUAUUUGUUUGGGAAUCACAGACAGCACCUUUCAUAGAAAUUUCAGUCUUUAUUUCGGCCUUGGAUCCUGUUACGUUCUCCAUAUUCCAUACUUUUCUGAUCUGUGGUAUCUGUAGCAAUGCAUCAGCUCCAAACCUUAUCUCAAGAUUAUGAAUGUAUGGUAAUUAUGAAUGGUAUAAAAAGCUGACCUAGACAGUUGUUAACCUCUAUCAGAAUACAAGUGAAGAGAACUGAUGUUUGAUGAAAUGUUUAUUUUGUUCUGUGAAUUUCCUGCAUACAAUGCUUGAGGUUACAUUGACCAUAAAACUGGAGAUAAAAUCACAUUUUCCUACCAGUCAUUUUGAUAUUAUAGAAGUGUAUUACUUUUUAAUAUUAAAAAAUAGAAUAAAUAGAAAAAAUUGAACUGCAGACACUAUUUGGUCAAUGUUAACAACCAAUAAAUUGUUUAUUGUAAGGAUACACUAAUUUUAUUGCCAGUAACAAUAUUAAUGGUUAUUCACGCUAAGAUAAGGGCAAAAAAAAAAAAAAAAAAAAAAAAAAGUCUAAUGAUCCCUGAUGUAUGAUUACCAAAAGGUUCAUGAAGGAAUUUCCCUGUUGCUUACUUGCAUUUCAGAUUACAUUAAUGGUUAGACACAGUAAAGUAUUUUGGAGACUUGUUUCUGUAAAGCUGAGUCUGAUUUAUUGCCAGAGGCAAGGUGCCAGACUGGAUGCAUCAAGGAAUCUAUCUGCUAAGAAACACUUUGGUUUCUUUUGAGAGACUGUCCAUAUGCACAUUCGUACCAUAAGCGUUUGUCUGCUUCUCUGAGUUGAAGAAUUCUGACUUUUUUUGCAGUAUCCAGGGGAUCACUAUCAUGUCCUGUCCCCAUGUGAUAAAAUUGACUAAGAUUUGACCAGCUCACUUCAGGAGUAAUUUGUGACAAGGCCUUUAGCAGACACCUUAGCAAUUUAGCCUUCUCUUUCAAUUUGAUUGCUUCUGUGUGUGUGUGCAUGCAUGCGUGUGUGUGUGUGAGAGAGAGAGAGAAGCCUUUGCCCUGCUUUCCAUUUUGAAUGCAAUUUGGUUCUUACUCAUGGAAUUUACCUUACCUCCUUCUUCUUGUGACCUGCAGGCAGAAACUUUCUUUGCUUUUUAUUCUUAUCAGCUUGUUCACAGUUCAUAGGAGAUGUUACUUCACUGAAGUCAAUUACAUGUCUUUGUCCAACAGAUGCCUAGUUGGGCUUCAAGGGUAGGCCAGGGUGAUGUGGUUCUCACCACCUCAGAAGUGCUUAUAAAACAGUCAAGGAAUUCUAGACCUAGAUUCUGAUUGUCUAGAGAUUCUGCACUGCAGUUGUCUAAAUUGUGCUUUAAACCACCUGAAGUAUUUAUUUGCCUACCUUGAUUCUUAGAAAAAAAAGUCAUACCUUUAGUGUGUGAAGUGUUUGCAAGAACAGUGGACAUUUGGUCAUUGUGACACCUUUGGUAAGCACUGUCCACAGUAUUUCUUUUAUGGGCUCUUAGGAAGGUUAAGGAGGGAUUUGGACAGGAUCGCUGUAAUUUCUCUAUCUGAACUAGAUUUCCCAUUCUAUCUGCAUACUUCAUUCUUUAUCUAAAAUGUAGAGAUCCUACACCCUGCUAUAUGUUGACUAAUAUAUUCCAUAAUGCACACUUGAUGUUACUGGGAUCCUCCUUUAAAAAAAUCCAUGCAUGUGUGCAUGUGCACGUGGGAAGCAUAUGUACCUGUAUAUCAUUUAUUCAGGUUGUCCCUACUUAUUUCUGUGGUCUCAGACUUUUGUCUUUAUAUAGAAAAAAUGAAGUGUGAUUAUCCAAAGAUUGUGAGGAGCUGAUUAAAAAUACCGAAUGACACCCCAUUUGACACUCAGUAUCUCAUAUAUCCUACUUAGAAAGGAGAAGCUGGAAGUGGUGCUUCUGCCACUGUUUGUCCCACUUUUACAAGCUAUUUGCUUGUUAAGGCAAGGGAUGAAGGUGGCAAGGUUGUGCCUUAAUAUCCCAUGAAUCCUAAUUGUACGUAUAUCUGUCACAAUACAACUGCCAUAUUUCUGUAAUAUUUGCAUAUGCUACGUGUGUAUUCAUGUCCAGGGGAUCUGACAUAUCCAGAAAAUAUGAGUUCCAGCACGUAUUCUAUGUACUGUUUAUUUAGGCAUGACACAAUCUUAUUUUUCUUCCCAGUUUUUUUUUUUGUGUGUGUGUAAAACACGGUGCCAAGGAAAGCCUUCACAGAUGGUCACCUUAGCUCUCAGAGACAUUGUAUUCCUGUGAAACUUACUGGAAUACCAAGACUGGCUGUGCAUAUUUUUCACUCCUAACAGAAGACAAAUGUUACUUUUAGCCACUGCUGUUAAUAGUCUAGUAAUGUUUUAUCCAUCUAUCACCUUGAUUUCUUUCUAGUUUUUGUUUGCUUUUUGUGUUUGUGUGGCUUCUUUAUUGUUUUUUUUUUUUUUUUUUUUUUUUAGUAGAACUCUUAACCAACAUAUUUUGAAUAAUGCAAAAGCCAAGUAAAGAAAUAUCUAUAGGUAUUUUGCUACAAACCCUAGAUGUUUAGAAUGGAUACAUGGCUUGUGUUUGUUUAUUUCUUUGUUUGUUUUUAAAUCAAAGCCAAUCUCAAAUCUAAAAUGACCUCUUUACUUUGGAAUAAUUCAUUAUGAGUGUUGAAGAGGAAAGUUUAUGUGGCUUAAGUAAAUUAGUGAGAAGUGGAAGUCUCUAAACAAUCUUCACUUUCAUUUGGCCUUCUAGGACACAUUAUCCAAGUAAGCUUUCAAAAAAUUAAUUAUAUUUUUAAUCCAAUCCAGCCCUAGCAGAUCUGCACAUUUCUUUAAUAAAUUACUGUUUCCAUUAACUGACUCUAUUAAAGUGGAGUCACUCUCAGGCAGUCACUGAAACUUGCCUUUUCACAGAGUCAGAACAUGCUGUCAAUGUACAUUUACUGUGGACCUCUAGAAACAAGAUCCUGAGUAAAUAUUAUUGUGAUGACACUUUAUUUUUUAAACAAGCACACAGAAACACUACACAGUUCCAAUUCUUCAUACAUUCAUAUAGUAAUCCAGCUGUCAGUUCAUUCUCCUAUGGAUCUGAAAAGCCUGGUUGAAUUCUCUCCUCUGCAUUUGUGAAUUCAUAUAUCCUACAUUCCAAGCUACUGAACUAUUCCAGCAUGGGGCCCGAAUAUGUAUAUAUUUGCUAGCCUGCAUACUGAGCAGAAAAUAAUUCUGAAAUAACGGGCUGCAAUAGAGAAUAAAAGUUGAAGCAGGACACUCUGAUUUAGUUAUUAGAUGAAAUUGCUUGGAAAAAGGAAACAGCUCAGCUCCCAGCUCUACUAAAGCCAAGGUGAGUUUUCUGAAGGGCUCUUUAAUAUGAAAUGCCUUGGAUUAGAGAUUGGAUUAUAGAGUGUUACUAUAGGAAUUUCUACUCCUUUAUAAAAGGAAGUCACUUCCUAUGCUGAACAUUUUUGAUUUUUUUAGAGGAGCUAACCCUCUGCCAUUUGUCCUAGUUCAUCCACUAUACACCCAAACACAAUGCUUGAAGCCAACACACUGCUGCAUAGCUUAGGAGCCCACCCAGAAGAGCCUAGCAAGUAAUUAAACAUUAGAUAUUGCAAUCUUCAUUCAAAAUAAUUUCCAAAAGAUAGAGGUCAUUUUCCUAGGCUGCCUCCAUAGCUGUUGAUUUGUUCACCACAGAGUUUUCCAGAUCAAGAAAUUAACUUUUGCGGAGCCUUUCUUAUACUGACUACAGGGUGACACUAGCUUUCUCCAGCUAAAAUUUUCCUUUUAUACUGCUCCCUCAACACCUUACUUACUUUGGGGGAUUUAGUUUCUGCUUAGCUUUGCUGGAUUAUCAAUGCACAAAAGAUGAUUCCUUACAGGAUAAGGCUGUAAGAAAUAAGGAAGUAGAACCAUCUUAUUCAGUCCAGAUUUAGAUUGCCCUUUCAGGUUAUUAUAUCUCCUCACUGCGCCAAUUUCUAAUAUGUUUGUGCUCAGUGAACAUACUACAACUACACAUGCAGAUCAAUCAUUUACAAACUGAUUAGAAAAGGGCCUAGAGUAAUGAAAAUCACAUCCCAGUGAAAACAGAGAUAUUUUUUUCUGUCCCACCCACACAUUUGGUGUGGGGAUAUGUUAUUUUCUUAUUUCACUCUCAGUCCAAAAAGUAAAAACACUUAAUUACACAAUACUAUAAGUAACUAGGGAAAUUAAUUUAAACCAGAAAUCUCUAACAUUGCCAAGAAGAAUGGAAACAGUCAAGCUAAGUGCAUAUAAAGAGCUCAUUUUAUAGUAUUGCUUCUCAACCUGUGAAGUGUGCCUUUCUCAGUGAGGUGAAUGGAAAUACAAAUGAAGCAUGUGCUGUGAUGAGGCACAAAGGAGAUAGUAACAGGGUGUGAGUGAAACAUAGGAUAAAUUGUGAUGCACUUUUUGGCAGUGUUUAAACUCAGGUAAAAAUGUUGACUUUUUAAAUUUCAUCACAGUCCUACACAACAGAAUUACAUUCAGUAACUGCGUAAGAGUAUUAAUUUUGAUUAUACCAAAAAUAUGACCUUUGGAAUGCUUUUUUGCCUAACGACAUACAUCCAAACACUUUAUUACUAAUUUAUUACUAAUACUCCAUAUACUUUAAUACUCUCCUUUGGGACUAUGCAGCAAUUUCUACCAAAACAAACAAACAAACAAAACAAUAACAACAACAACAAACAGAUUAAAGGCUACUCUAUGUUUAUUCAUUUAUGUUGAGUACACCUAAUUUUUCUCAAAAUCUGGAAGCUAUUGUCACCCAGGUCAAUCUAAUAUAUAAGUGGGAGAGUGCCUUGAAAUUAUAUGUGGUGUAAAUACAAAAUAAAGGAAUAAAGAGGUAUGAAUAAACCCUCUUUAGCAGAAGCCAAGUGAGUCAGUUUAACUGAUGAAUAAGAGGAGAAAAGGGGCAAAAGUUUAUCCCACAAAUCAACUCUCAGGAAACUUGUUCCCAAGCACAUAUUUAAAGACUUGAUUCAUACUGAUCUGUUUCAAACCUUUAAUAAGAUACUUUGAAUUUAAACAAUCAAACUGAAAAACUGAUUGCACAAAUUUUGUGUUGCAAAGUUUGGAAACUCCCAGAUCUUUAGUUUUAAAUAACAGCAUGAAAGCAGAGAAUCUAGGGCAAGACGACUUCCUAUCCUAAGUGACUUUCAUGACUUAUAACAUUAGAAAUACAUCUUAAAGCAUAGGGCAUAUACAUCCUGCACUUCUUUGUCAGAUUCCUGCUACAAAAUAAAC